AAAUGCAAUUUGGUAUCUGACUUUUUUUUUGCCUUUUUUGUGAUUCUGUGUCUCUAAACAUGGCAAAAAAUGAGGAGGAACGAAACUUUGCGACACUGGCUGCUCAUAAUGAGCCUCUAAGUUACUAUAUACUACCUGUUUAUAUUA
rfam:Triticum aestivum genome assembly, contig: Triticum_aestivum_CS42_TGACv1_scaffold_423343_5BS